AUACGUAGGUGGCGAGCGUUGUCCGGAACUAUUGGGCGUAAAGGAUGCGUAGGUGGAUAUUUAAGUGGGAUGUGAAAUCCCCGGGCUCAACCCGGGAACUGCAUUCCAUACUGGAUGUCUAGAGUGCAGGGGAGGAAAGCGGAAUUCCUAGUGUAGCGGUGAAAUGCGUAGAUAUUAGGAGGAACACCAGUGGCGAAGGCGGCUUUCUGGACUGUAACUGACACUGAGGCAUGAAAGCGUGGGUAGC
rnacentral:rRNA from 1 species